UGAGGUGUCGUCUAAUGGUAGGACAACGGUUUCUGGUACCGUUUAUCUUGGUUCGAGUCCAGGCACCUCAG
rnacentral:tRNA from 1 species